GCGGCGGCGGCGGCUGCCAGCCUUUGAUGUCCCCGCUGUGUUUGUGUUGGCCAGCCACGCUGUCCCGGCACAACCCGCAGAUGUGCCUGCAAGCUGCAAGGCAUGGGAGAGGGAACUUAAUACCGCAGCACUGGGAGAUGGAGAAUGUGACUGGGCACGCGUGGAAUGCUGAGUAGCAGGAGGAAAACAGCAAUCUAAAUUUCUAAUGCCGAGGAUGUUUCCCAUUCUGCGUUUAUGAAACAUGGCUGCCGGGACUACAAAGUGCAGCAGGCCCCGAAUCAACCCUGCGGUCCCAUUCCUCGCUCCCCGCCAUGGCUGCGAGUGGGAGGCAGAACACGACCUGCCAAAGUGGCCGCGGAGGAAGGGAGGAGAGGUGACGUUGUGGAGGAGAAUCCCUCAAUCGGGGAACAAAAGAACACGAAAAGCGGGCGAGCCGAGGUGUCCGCGGCAGGGGCGGGAAGUGGCUGUUGACCCGAGUGCGGCGACCGAGGCAGAGACUGCAUGUCUGAUGGCGGCGAGGCAGCGUAUCGCUUACAGGCUCCCUCAGCAGAAGCCCCCCGCAUGUCCGUCUCCAGCCACAGAGUUUGCCCUCUACUUAAGGCAACAAGAGUCGGGCUCAGCAUUACAAGCCUAUUAAAAGAUACUUUUAAUUAUGCCCCCCCCCCUCUCCCGGGAUCGCUUCUUUGAUGAACUCUGUGUUUCUUUGGCAUGUGCACUUAGGAAUGGCACAACCAGAAGCACGUGUUGUUUUCUCCCUCCAAUUAAAGGGCAUG